AGCGUCUUAAUCAGUUGAUCUCUAGCCAAUUAUAUAAUCUGCCUAGAUUAUAUAAUCCAUUUGCCAUAGAUUCAUUUGCAGGAGUGUUAAAACAGCUCGUUGUUUUGGGAUUUGCCGCCUCAAGUUUCAUCUAGCUACCUCCAACAAACCCUUCAAUCUCCAUGGCUACAUCGAUAUCAACUCAAUAUACUAACGAGGAGGAAAUUAAAA